AAUCCUCAACCCCGUCGGUCAGUCGGGGCUUGGACUUUGGAGUGUGCUGGCGAAGGUCGGCUCCUCUUUAAAUGCAUCAGCGGAGAAAAACCUUUUUCCCCCUUCAGUAUGAUAACUGCGUUGCGCUGUGGUCGUGAAAGGGUCUUCCCAUAAUCGUCCUCUGGGACAAACACCAAAUCUG
rnacentral:misc_RNA from 1 species